rnacentral:rRNA from 1 species
AUAUUGCACAAUGGGGGAAACCCUGAUGCAGCGACGCCGCGUGAGCGAAGAAGUAUUUCGGUAUGUAAAGCUCUAUCAGCAGGGAAGAUAAUGACGGUACCUGACUAAGAAGCUCCGGCUAAAUACGUGCCAGCAGCCGCGGUAAUACGUAUGGAGCAAGCGUUAUCCGGAUUUACUGGGUGUAAAGGGAGCGUAGACGGUUUGUCAAGUCUGAUGUGAAAUUCCAGGGCUUAACCCUGGACCUGCAUUGGAAACUGUCGAACUAGAGUGUCGGAGAGGUGAGUGGAAUUCCUAGUGUAGCGGUGAAAUGCGUAGAUAUUAGGAGGAACACCAGUGGCGAAGGCGGCUUACUGGACGGUAACUGACGUUGAGGCUCGAAAGCGUGGGGAGCAAACAGG